AAAUGCGAUAAGUAAUGUGAAUUGCAGAAUUCAGUGAAUCAUCGAAUCUUUGAACGCACAUUGCGCCCGUCAGCAUUCUGGCGGGCAUGCCUGUUCGAGCGUCAUUUCAACCCUCAGGACCCCCCUUUCGCGGGGAGGGACCUGGCGUUGGGGAUCGGCCCGCCCCCCGUGGCGGUGCCGUCCCCGAAAUCUAGUGGCGGUCUCGCUGCAGCCUCCCCUGCGUAGUAGUUACAACCUCGCAUCGGAGCGCGGCGCGGCCACGCCGUAAAACCCCCGACUUUCUGAACGUUGACCUCGGAUCAGGUAGGAAUACCCGCUGAACUUAAGC
rnacentral:misc_RNA from 1 species